rnacentral:misc_RNA from 1 species
UAAUAAGUGUUUUAUGGCACUUUUUAAAUCCAUAUCCACCUUGUGUGCAAUGUCAGUCGAUCUUCUUCAUGGAGAUCGACCAAACAUCAACCUUUAUUUUUUAACUCUUUUGUCUGAAAAAUAUUAUGAAUAAACAAUUCAAAAUA